CAGAAUGCUAAUUAUGUGCGCGCACUUAACUUAACUAACUUAACGCUGUAGAAACAUGUUUAAGCCAACAUUCUAAUAGUCGUUUAAAAAUGCUAAAAAGUAAAACUAAAAAGUCUGUUACUUAAUAAUAAGCAGUUUUUAUUCUAUUUUCAAUUAUUUAUUGAGGUCUUUUUAUUGGUAAAAGUUAAUGGAAAUGACACGACUUUGUCAAAAAGCUGUUGUAUGGUUAGUCAGGUUCUUCGACAAAUCUAUUUUGGUUUUGUAUAAUAUGAGUAUCAUCAGCACUUAAAAAUAAGGUUUUGUAAUGA